rnacentral:rRNA from 1 species
GUCUACAGCCAUGCCACGCUGAACAUACCUGAUCUCAGCUGAUCUCGGAAGCUAAGCAGGGUUGGGCCUGGUUAGUACUUGGAUGGGAGACCACCUUGGAAUACCAGGUGCUGUAGGCG